GUGAGUCAUCGAAUCUUUGAACGCACAUUGCGCCCGCCAGCAUUCUGGCGGGCAUGCCUGUUCGAGCGUCAUUUCAACCCUCGAGCCCGACUUUUCGAAGGACGGCUCGGCGUUGGGGGACGGCAGACUCCCCCCGGCAUCUCGCCGGGGACGCCGCCCCCGAAAUUUAGUGGCGGCCCUCCGAGGCGACCUCUGCGUAGUAACUUGUUCUCGCACCGGAAAGCUCAGAGCGGCCACGCCGUAAAACCCCAACUUUUUUUAGGUUGACCUCGAAUCAGGUAGGACUACCCGCUGAACUUAAGCAUAUCAAUAAGCGGAGGA
rnacentral:misc_RNA from 1 species